CUAAAUUAGAAUUUCCUGAUUAGCUGGAGACGUGUCCACGGCCUCCACAGAACGUCAUAAGCCGCACCAGCUCCACACAUCGUCACCAGGUGCUUCCCAUUACGGCGGAAGAGAAGAGGGUGGCGAGCUUCCAUCAUUCAUUCCCUAUAUAUGCUGCCUGGCGACCGGGAGCCUCCGGAAAUCCACAGAUUGUGGAUUGUCUCUGAGUUGGGAACAAGAAGAUCUAAAUUUAUCUAAAUGUAAGGCCAAAGAAACAUCGAAAGAACCAAAAAAGACAAUACAGCAGAAAAGGAAAACAAAUGACUCAUUUUCAGAAUGUCCUGAAACAGACAGCCCCAAACGCCCCAGGGCGAGUGUUUUGCGCCUCUCUGGAGUUGCGAAUAUGGAUGGAGAACCCACCCUUUUUCCAGAGAAAGAAGCAGAUGACAAGGAUUCGAAAAACACAGAUAGUCCUAUUGUGCAGUUUACUGUGGGAGGAGCAAAUGCAGAAACCACAAUGCCCGUGCCAGAGGAUAAUGGUGCAACCACUGACACAGCUGAACCUAUUGUUCUUUCCAGUGAUGAAGAAGACGGUGGGGAAAAAAUUGAGAAUCUGAAACCUAUCUCACAG
rnacentral:lncRNA from 1 species